rnacentral:lncRNA from 1 species
GCUGCCCGUAAGAAACAUGUCAGGGCCUCACAAGCAUCCCCAACCCCAUCCUCACCCAGGUCCUGAAAUCACAUCUAUUUUCUCCAAAAGAGCAAAGAAGGCUGAAAAGGGGACUGAGGGGUCAGAUGUGGCUGGCUGGAGGGUUGUGACAGGAAGACAGGAGUGUAUGAAAUGUCAAUCCUGGAAACCAGAGGCUUAUAGGGUGGGCUGGCAGGAGGACCACCCAAGAGGCUGCUGC